GACGAACGCUGGCGGCGUGCUUAACACAUGCAAGUCGAACGGAAAGGCCCUGCUUUUGUGGGGUGCUCGAGUGGCGAACGGGUGAGUAACACGUGAGUAACCUGCCCUUGACUUUGGGAUAACUUCAGGAAACUGGGGCUAAUACCGGAUAGGAGCUCCUGCUGCAUGGUGGGGGUUGGAAAGUUUCGGCGGUUGGGGAUGGACUCGCGGCUUAUCAGCUUGUUGGUGGGGUAGUGGCUUACCAAGGCUUUGACGGGUAGCCGGCCUGAGAGGGUGACCGGCCACAUUGGGACUGAGAUACGGCCCAGACUCCUACGGGAGGCAGCAGUGGGGAAUAUUGCACAAUGGGCGGAAGCCUGAUGCAGCCACGCCGCGUGCGGGAUGAAGGCCUUCGGGUUGUAAACCGCUUUCGCCUGUGACGAAGCGUGAGUGACGGUAAUGGGUAAAGAAGCACCGGCUAACUACGUG
rnacentral:rRNA from 1 species